UAGAAUGGAUCCUUUUAUUUUGCUAUAUAGGAUACCACUAAAGUUGGCCGUAAAAAGGCGGCCUCACCGCAAAGUAGUCGUAUUUCCAAGAUGUCUGUCAAGUCUGUCAAAGAAUGCUGAAGGGAACGAAUUUUUCUCGACGGUCCAGAAUGGGCUAAAGAUUAAAUAAAAUUAUAAGAGUGAAGCGAAUUGUCGUCAAUUGAAUUGGAACUAAAAACUGUUGCGAAAAUUCAGAUUGUUGAGCAAGGCGUUCAUGCCAGAAGGUUUACAUCCAAUAUUGCCCAGGGGGACAGUAAUUAGAACAAUUUCUUUAAGUUUGUGUGGACACAGAGGCUUGAAUGUAGAAAUCAAAGAGUGGACAUGCGUAUAAAAUAUCGCCAACAGACCAUGGACGGAUAAAGAGAAAAAUCUACUAUUGUGAUUGAAAGUUGAAAAUAAACAGCAAAUAAACUUCAAAUAGAAAUUUAAACAUACAAGAAGUAGGACCUUGACCAUGCCUCAACAACAUCAGGAACAAGAAGUCAAACAUGCAAUAUUAAUUCACAUGCUUGUAGCUAAUAGCACAUGAGCAUUAGCAAGUGAAGGAGAGAAACAAUAACUAAUGACCAUAAAAUUCUAUAUUGAUACUUAUCAAAAUUGGAUCCAUUCUGAACAACUUCAAGAGUCUAGCCAGCUCUAUUGAUACUUAAAAAUUGGAUCCAUUCUGGAAAUUGUAAGAGUCUAGCCAGCUCUAUUGAUACUAACCAUAAUUGGAUCCAUUCUGGAGAAUUUCAAGUGUGUAGCCAGCUCUAUUGAUAUUGACCAAAACUCGAUCCAUUCUGGACAUUUGCAAGAGUGUAUCCAGUCCUGUUGAAAUUGACCGAGUUUUGAUCCAUUCUGGACAUUUUCAAGAGUGAAGCCAGCUCUAUUGUUACUUACUAAAAUUGGAUCAAUUGUGGACACGUUCAAGAUUCUAGCUAGCUCUAUUGAUACUUACCAAAAUUUGAUCCAUUCGGGACAAUUUUAAGAGUCAAGCCAGCUGUAUUGGUACUCACCAAAAUUGGAUCCAUUCUGGACAACUUCAAGACUCUAACCAGCUCUCUUGAUACUUACCAAAAUUUGAUCUAUCUAUACAAAUUCAAGAGUCUAGCCAGCUCUAUUGAUACUUACCAAAAUUGGAUCCAUUCUGGACAAUUUCAAGAGUCUAGCAAGCUCUAUUGAUACUUACCGAAAAUGGAUCCAAUCUAGGCAAUUUCAAGAGUCAAGCCAGCUCUCUUGAUACUUACCAAAAUUGGAUCCAUUCUGGACAAUUUCAAGAGUCUAGCCAGCUCUAUUGAUAAUUACCAAAAUUGGAUCCAUUCUUAACAAUAUCAAGUGUCUAGCCAGCUUUAUUGAUACUUACCAAAAUUGGAUCCAUCAGGGCUCACGCUGGGUUCAAAUUUUAGGGAGAAGUGACUUCUCCCUAGACACUGAUUUAGGGAGAAGUGAGCAGACUUUAGGGAGAAGUGGAGAGACUCGGACAAAGGGUUUGCUUGUAAGGGGUUACAACAUACAUAUAUGUGAUAGUAAUAAUCGACACAACAGAUAAAUAACCAUAAUUUUACUAGCUCUUUAUUCAAUCCAUUUUGAUGUGAACAUACAUAGUGUAAUAAAGACUUAAGUAUUUCAAAGAUGAUAAUUGAAGCAGUAGCCAACAUAAAUAUUUAUGUUUGAAAUAUGACAUAUGCCAGGGGUUUUUCUGCCUAUUUUGGGAAAAGGAGUCUGACCAAAUUGGGAAUUUUGUAUCGACAAAAUUGGUCAUUUUGGGAAUUUUUGCUUCGAUGAAACGGCUCAUUUGGGAAAAAAUUGUGAAUUAAUCAUGCUUAAAUAAUUCAGUGGUUUAACAAAUAAAUUUGUUUUUAUUUGUAAUUUUGUCUUCUUUAUAUAAACACAUGCAAUAUUGGGCAUGUUCAACGUUAAUUCAAGUACUGCAGUUUUGUUUUUCAGUUACAGUUACACUCUGAGAUAAGAACUGAACAGUCAAAACCUUAUAGCAGAUAUUUUUGACCAAAACAAACACUGGUUAGUCACACAAAUUAUAAGACAAUUCAUUCUUAAAAAAAAUUGGGAAUGUUUAUUAUAAUUUCGGUUUGGGAUCGGGUCCGUUUGCUUUGGGAGUGCCUCCGUUUUCCGGAGGCGCAGACAGUGCUGAAAAAUCCCUGUAUGCUAAGCAGCUUUGUUAAUUUGUGGUAAAAAAAAACGUUGUGAUUAUCAACACUUAAAUUCGUUGCUUUGAAUAACUUUGAGCCAAUGUUUGUCAACAAUAAUAAUAUUAAUGAAAACAAAAAUCUAUAUUGACAAAUUUUAAGUCUAAACAAUGAUCAAUGUCACCAUGAAGUAACAUCCAGUCUGAAGAUUAAAAUGAAACAUAGUUAUUGCUAAUUAUAGGAUAUAUUUAUUUUACAACACGUUAUUUCAACUAAUGUCAACAACGUUGACAGUUUUGUAAGGUCGCGAAAAUAUAUGAAAAUAUAAGAAUUACAUUUUACUUGGUGAGUGAUAAAUCCUCCUUCCAAACAAGCUCAUUAUUUGUUGAAAUAACAACUGUCUGUCCCUAUUCAUGUUAAAAUUCAUCAUGAUUGAGGACAGACAGUGUUUUAAAGUUUAGAAAUAAAAUCCAAACACAAAUAUGAUUUUCCAUGCCGUAAUUUUGGACUAAAAAUUGACCGCAUAUUCGCAUUAAAAAAUAGAUUAAUUUUCAAAUUUUAAAAGGUACUUUGAAUUAAAAAAAUCAAUAUUUUUGCACAAAAAAAAAUCAUAGCCAAAGAUUUCAGAAGUUUAAAAAAAAUCAAUAGUGCUGAGUUUGAUUUCAUUCGAGUGUGAUAGUGCCUAACCAAGCGUGACCUGAGCCGCGUGACCUCAGAGAUAAUCUUUCACAGCAUGUGACUAUCGUCUGCAACAAAAGGCUUAUUAGUGAUCUGAUAACAAACCAUGCCCUUUGGGCAUAAUUCAUCGUUAUCCUAUUAAUUGAUCAACAUCACCCCCGUGGAUUAUCCCUAAUCAAUAUCAAAUCAAUAACACUUGAAAGACGUCAGUAAACUUCAAUUAUCACCCCACACGCACGUGACUGCAUUCGAGUUGAACACUGACUUGACGUUCGCCGAUUGGAUAAGUUUGGAGGUUGGGAGAAUCGGGGGCGGGGUCUACCUCAAAUUACAUGUCGCUCGAUUGCGACAAGCUUCGGGCAGUUACAGUGUGUAUUGGAAAAUGUAAUCAUACCUUGACAUCGAGAAAACCGGAUGUAAACAAAUUCCGAUGAAAGAGCGACUGGAAGUCGCUUUUUAUCUACGAUUUCUUACAUUUUAGGCGACAUUUGGCGUAGGGAAAGCGACUAUGUCGCUCACGUCGCCCCCUAGCGCGAGCCCUGUCCAUUUUGGACAAUUUCAAGAGUCUAGCCAGCUCUAUUGAUACUGACCAAAAUUGGAUCCAUUCUGGACAAUUUCAAGAGUAUAGCCAGAUCUAUUGAUACUUACAAAAAUUGGAUCCAUUCUGGACAAUUUCAAGAGUCUAGCCAGCUCUAUUGAUAUUUUCCAAAAUUGGAUCCAUUCUGGACAAUUUCAAGAGUCUAGCCAGCUCUAUUGAUACUGACCGAAACUGGAUCCAUUCUGGAAAUUUGCAAGAGUGUAUCCAGUCCUGUUGAAAUUGACCGAAUUUGGAUCCAUUCUGGACAUUUUCAAGAGUGUACCCAGCACUAUUGUUACUUGCCAAAUUGGAUCCAUUCUAUAAAAUUUCAAGAGUCUAGCCUGCACUAUUGAUACUUAACAAAAUUGGAUCCAAUCUGGACAUUUUCAAGUGUUUAGCCAGCCUUGUUGAUACUGACCGAAUUUGGAUUCAUUCUGUACAUUGUCAAAAUAUUUUUGAUUGAUCAUAUAAUGUCCCAGGGAUGAAAAUAAGCCACACCUUUUUGCUUUUUAUUAAAGGGGCCUUUUCAAGUUUUUGUAAAUUGUCAAAAUUGUUUCAGAUUUUUAUGUCGCCCACCACUAUAGUGGUUUAUAAAAUUAUAAAUUGUUGCAAUGCAAAACGAUUGAAUAAUAUGGAAAGUUCUGUUGUCGUUGUUAUAUUUUGUGAAACUACGAGAAUUGCUUAUAUAAAGUAUAAAAUACCUUCCACAUUGUAUGACCACAAAUGACCGAGUGGUCAAAGCAGUAGACUUUUUCUCCAGUACUCCAGUUGUCAGUGGUUCUAUCCCUGUUGAGGGUUCAACCAAGAUUUGAUUUUCAAUUUGUGUCUAGUUAUACACUGGGGACCAUGGCGUUUUCCUUAUAUGCAUGUUAUAAAAACUAUUAUUAUCCUAUGACCUAAACAACAAAGAUAAGGAGCCUGCAAUUGAGGUUGCAUCUGAAUAUUGUAUGGUAUUUGUUUGAACGACACAGGCCCUCUGGGACCUAUUUAAAAAACAUUAUUGAUCCAUUUUUUAUCUUUAACAACUUUUAUAAUUUUUCUCAGUACAUACUCCGGUUUGACUUGAAACAUACAAACUAGUGAAAAUAAUAAGUACUGCCAUAAUUACCAUGGCAAUGUGUUGUUGUUUUUUGGUUAAAGGCCAAUGUGCAGACUUACUACUAAAUGAUGAAACAAUGAUGUAAUGUUACUGUUUUAAAUUUGAGAAAGUAUGUGUUUUUAUAUUCUUAGCAUUUUUAUUUAUUUUUCAUGUAAAAUAUACACUUUUGAAAAAUGGUGUUUUAUAACUGUUAAGUUAAGUACACUGGUAUUUCAGUUUGGUUAUGUAGCGGGGUUUGUGUAUUGACACAAGGGGUUAUAGUUGCCAACUUUUAUUAAGCCUCCCUUUGAAGAAGAGGGGGUAUAUUGUUUUGCACAUGUCGGUCCGUCUGUUCGUCCACCAGAUGGUUUCCGGAUGAGAAUGCUUAGGCCUAGGAUCAUGUAACUUCAUAGGAACAUUGAUCAUGACUGGCAGAUGACCCAUAUUGAUUUUCAGGUCACUAGGUCAAAGGUCAUGGGCACAGUGACUGGAAAUAGUAAAAUGGUUUCCGGAUGAUAACUCAAGAAUGCUUACGCCUAGGAUCAUGAAACUUCAUAUGUACAUUGAUCAUGACUGGCAAAUGACCCUUUCGAUUUUCAGGUCACUAGGUCAAAGGUCAAGGUCACAGUGACUCGAAACAGUAAAAUGGUUUCCGGAUGAUAAUUCAAGAAUGCAUACGCCCAAUUUUAAUUACCGGUAUAUAAUUGAUAAUGGUAUGAAAUAUAAUAACAUAAAGUAUUAUAAGUAUUAUCAUAAAUUAUAAAUCAGAUAAUUGAUAAAUACAAUAUCAUUCAAAUAAUAUAAUGAUUACAAUUUUAACAAGUAUACAAGUAAAUACGCUUAAAAUAAUAAAAUGACUCACCAGUAACCAUAUGAAGAAAGAAACUAAAGAGAGUAGGUUUAAGCAAAUGAAAAAUGCUUGUACCUCUUGCAAGGUUUAGUAACGAAAUGAAUCAAAUGUUUCAGAUAUAUAAAACCAUAAAUAUGUAUCUGAAAUCAGCUCACCUAAAAAGCAUUCUCCAUUAAUAAUAUACGGUAGCUCACUCAUUCAUCACACUGAAUCUCUCUUGAUUGGAUAAGUAGUUAUAAUUAUUUAUAAAACUGGUGUUUUGUUUUGUUUUCAUUGUGUUGCCUUUUUGCUUUUUGCUUUCUCUGAGAAAUUUGCAUCUUGAUUUUUUUCAUUUGCUUUAUUAGGUUUGCAUUCUGACGCUUUUUUUGCUUUUGCUUUCUUUGAGCUUAACAGUAUGUAUAUAUAAUACUAGUGACACUACAACAGUUUGCUGUUGUUGUCUUAUUUCGUUCAUUUCAUUAAUUUUGAUAUCUUGUUGAAGAACUUGUAGUACUGUAUGUAUGUACAUGUAGCAUUAAUCAAUGCUUCUUUGCUCAUCAUUUGCCUUUGAAGCUCUGAAAUAGUGCUAGUUACACAUGCGGGAUAAUCAUUUCAGCAUUAGUAUUGUAUUAUUUUGCUUUUAUAAUUAUAUUUUAUUUUUUAUUCAUCAGUGUUGUAUUGUUUUGCUUAUAUUGUGUGAAAUUUGUUGAUCAUUUUCCUUCAAAUCUGGUUUGAGAUGAUAAUUUCCUUUAAGCCCUUUUUAUUUUGUGGCACUAUUGUGUUCUAUUUUCUCUGUAAGCAUUUUUACACCAUUUCUUUUUAUGGUACCUUGUGUCAACAUCAAAAAUCUUUUAAACAGCUCUUAAUUUUGAAUGUAUAGUACUGAUAUUAUAUUUCUGCUUACAUUUGAAUAAUGUCCUAUAGGAAUACUGCUUUAAUUGUGUUUUUAUUGUGCUUUAUUAGAAUAACUAUUUCUUAUGUAUGCCAUGUAUUAUUGAUGUGUUGCAAUUUGUUACUGCUUGUUAGUUCGGUAAACAGCUAUACAUAGCAUAUGUUAUAUACAUGUUAUUUCAUACUGACAAUAAAUUCGUUUUGAUGUGAUUUGAUUAAG